rnacentral:misc_RNA from 1 species
UUAAAUUCUUAAAUAUUUCAUUUAAAAAAAAAAAAAAAACUUAUCUGGAGAGAUAUCCUUUAUAUAGUAGCCAAUCAUUAAGUUAUUAUAACAAAUUAUUUGUGAGUCAUUUGAUGUUAGUGAGAUAAGCGUAGUCUAAUACACUUCUUUUAUUGGAUAUGUCAUAAGGAUAAGUGGAUAAUGGUAUCUUGUACCUAUCAGAUAUUAAAUGUAGACUCGUUUAUCUUAGUUGGGUGAUGUGAGGUUGAUUUGAUGGAGUUGAUAGGUCUCUAUUUGACUAGAACUACUCAAUUGGUUCGUUUGACUUGCCCAUUUUGAUUGAUGAUUCCAUUUAAUUCAUAUGAAGGUCUUGAAGAAAAUUUUGUUGGUUUAGAUGAUGUUCACUUUUUGAAAUUUUCGUGAAAAUAAUAUAUAGCCAUCUAUUCUAUGAAUGAGAAUCAUGCAAUAUAGUUUGUACAAGUACUCUGCUGAAUUUCCUCCAUUAUGCCUACGUUCCUAUUGUUAUAUACUUUUAUUUGUGGAUUCUGUCAUUGCCC